GGCUAGCGUUGCUCGGAAUCACUGGGCGUAAAGGGUGCGUAGGCGGGUUUUUAAGGCAGGGGGGAAAUCCUGGAGCUCAACUCCAGAACUGCCUUUGAUACUGAAGAUCUUGAGUCCGGGAGAGGUGAGUGGAACUGCGAGUGUAGAGGUGAAAUUCGUAGAUAUUCGCAAGAACACCAGUGGCGAAGGCGGCUCACUGGCCCGGUACUGACGCUGAGGUGCGAAAGCGUGGGGAGCAAACAGG
rnacentral:rRNA from 1 species